rnacentral:rRNA from 1 species
UGGGAUUUCCUGGGGCCGCAAGCCUGAUGCAGCGACGCCGCGUGAGGGUGACGGCCUUCGGGUUGUAAACCUCUUUCAGUAUAGAACAAGGCCUUCGGGUUGAGGGUAUGUGCAGAAGAAGCGCCGGCUAACUACGUGCCAGCAGCCGCGGUAAU